UACGUAGGUGACAAGCGUUGUCCGGAUUUACUGGGCGUAAAGAGCGCGCAGGCGGUCGAUCAAGUCGAGUGUGAAAGCCCCCGGCUCAACUGGGGAGGGUCAUUCGAUUACUGAUCGACUCGAAGGCAGGAGAGGGUAGUGGAAUUCCCGGUGGUAGCGGUGAAAUGCGCAGAUAUCAGGAGGAACACCCGUGGCGAAAGCGGCUCUCUGGGACGGUACUGACGCUGAGACGCGAAAGCGUGGGGAGCGAACAGG
rnacentral:rRNA from 1 species